rnacentral:misc_RNA from 1 species
CAAAUUAUGGCGAACUUCGCGUUUCGCGAGGUUUUGCGUCCAAAUAUAUAUUUAAAACAUCCCACUCUUUAAAAAAAAAAUUAUCUAAUGAUAAAUAAAAAGA